GUAAAUGAAGUGCAGGGACAGUAAUUGAAGAGAGAUAGAGACCUGGUGAGUGUGUGUGUGUGAGGGAGAGAGAGAGAAAGGGGAGAAAGGAGGGGCUCUCAUCUUAUUUUGGUGCAGAGGUUCACCACUGCUGAAAGGCUGCAGCGUGCAAGAAGGUGAAAAACGGAGACAGCACUUCAGUCCGGAUGUGUCGGUUUCUGGAUGUUCCCCCCUUUUUGCAUUCGCACCAGAGCAGAUGCACGCAUGCAGCAGCAAUCACCCAAUUCGUGCGUGUCGACUGGCCGCGGGCAAAGCCCCCGCAGGAAAACAGAUGCACAGCUGUCAGGGAGCAGAUACAGCUGCAACGGCGCAUGGCAACUGCAACUCCAAGUGGUCUCGAGGAGGACGAGGCGACGGACAAAAGAGCCGAGUGACUCCCAGCGGAGGUGGACCUGUGGCAUCUGGCGCCACAGCAGCAGCAUGCAGAGCCAGUGCAUGCCAUUCACCAGUGGAAAAGGUAGUGGAAAUCGAUGGCUGGAGAGCAGGAGGAUGUGGUGAGCAGUAAAUUACAUGACUGAAGGGGAGGAAAACUCAGUAAGCUGUAGCUCGCUGGGUGGAGGAGAGAGUGAUGGACCGUGCAACUGGGGUCAGGACCUGGUCACUGAAGUGGAGCGUUUAGCCUGUCCUUGACUCGAAGGAGUUAAAGUUACACCAAGGCCUCCUGGUUAGGUUGUCUGCAUACUUUUACCUGCCUCACCAAAGAGCAUCUGUCGGACCAGCCAUCAGAGCCGAGCAGUGCUUCUUUCCUCCAUUGUAACCACAAAUGUCACCAUUUGGUUCAAGUCCUCUUGAGAAGACCGUCCAAAAGGCUUCGUUUUGUUAGCACUCAGUGUGAAGAAGUUGGGUCAGAGAUAAAUUUAGUUUCUUUUGUUAACC